rnacentral:pre_miRNA from 1 species
AAAAAGGCAAACUCUAGAUUUCUGUGUCCAACUUUAACUAUCCGUCUUAUAUGAAAUUUUUUUAUAAUUUAAAUUUUGAUUGUUGUUAGAUGAUAAAACAUGAUUAAUAUUUUAUGCGUAACUUGUCUUUUUAAUUUUUUUUAUAAUUUUUUCAAAUAAGACGGACGGUCAAAAGUUGGACACGGAAACCAGGGUUUGUCUUUUU